GGUCUUAUAGUUUAAGAAAAAAAAUAUUAAAUUGCAAAUUUAAUGAUGUUCAUAUUUCUAAGACUU
rnacentral:tRNA from 1 species